CAGGAUUUAGAUACCCUGGUAGUCCACGCCGUAAACGAUGUCGACUUGGAGGUUGUGCCCUUGAGGCGUGGCUUCCGGAGCUAACGCGUUAAGUCGACCGCCUGGGGAGUACGGCCGCAAGGUUAAAACUCAAAUGAAUUGACGGGGGCCCGCACAAGCGGUGGAGCAUGUGGUUUAAUUCGAUGCAACGCGAAGAACCUUACCUGGUCUUGACAUCCACAGAACUUNGNCAGAGAUGCCUUGGUGCCUUCGGGAACUGUGAGACAGGUGCUGCAUGGCUGUCGUCAGCUCGUGUUGUGAAAUGUUGGGUUAAGUCCCGCAACGAGCGCAACCCUUAUCCUUUGUUGCCAGCGGUCAGGCCGGGAACUCAAAGGAGACUGCCAGUGAUAAACUGGAGGAAGGUGGGGAUGACGUCAAGUCAUCAUGGCCCUUACGACCAGGGCUACACACGUGCUACAAUGGCGCAUACAAAGAGAAGCAAUCUCGCGAGAGCAAGCGGACCUCAUAAAGUGCGUCGUAGUCCGGAUUGGAGUCUGCAACUCGACUCCAUGAAGUCGGAAUCGCUAGUAAUCGUGAAUCAGAAUGUCACGGUGAAUACGUUCCCGGGCCUUGUACACACCGCCCGUCACACCAUGGGAGUGGGUUGCAAAAGAAGUAGGUAGCUUAACCUUCGGGAGGGCGCUUACCACUUUGUGAUUCAUGACUGGGGUGAAGUCGUAANNAGGUA
rnacentral:rRNA from 1 species